ACCACUCAUAAAUAAAUAAAUCAUGUAACACAACUUUAUCUUGUUUAAUGUGCCUAAGGAUGGAGAAAAAUAAAUAAAGAAAUAGAUUUGGUUCUGUUGGUGUUUUUCCACCAACAGAGCCCAUGCACUUGAUAUCUACCUUAGUUUUGCAAACAGGACAACACAUCAAGCAAUGUUUAUUAAUUCUGCAAGUGAAUGUUCUAUGAGCAUGCACACUGAGCAAGAUGCUCACACUGAGCAAGAUGCUGCCAGCUACCGUUAAAACUCUCCUUCAACCUGCUCGCCAAAUCAAAGAACAAAGGUGACAUCAUCAUCAAUGGAGGUAUGCAACUAGCAAGACCUCCAUCUCUCAAGAUGGAGAGAUACACAAGAGUGGACGAAGAAGACCUGUCGGUAAACAUUAAAUUUUACAUCAUUGCCAUAAGGUAAUUUGGUAGUUAUGUAAUUAAUUAGUAUUCCUAUCUACAUUAAUAAAUUUACCUUAAUAUUUUCAUCUGCAUAAAUAUAAAAGAAAAUAAUUCUUUAUUGUUUCAUUUACUGCAUCAUAAAAUAUUAAAAGCUCCACGGGAAUAAAUUUACGGUAACCUUCUAGGAAUAUUUACUGUGGUGACAUAAAGAAUAAUAAUAAUAGCUUCUUUAUUUACUUUCUUGCAUUAUGAAAAACCUAAGCCCCAUAAGAAUAAAUAUUCUCUAUGGAGGCAUAAUAAUACAACUAUAUAUCAUACACACAUAUUUAAUUAAACUAGAAAAUCCUAAAAAUAAAAAAAAGAGAACCCUGCUAGAAUCUAUCAAUUCAAAACAACUCAAAGAACAAUCAAUCACUUACUGGCUGAUCGCUAACCCAUUAUUAAAUUCGAGCCUCGAGUUUUGGUUUUCUUUUUGGAGUGUAAUUAUGCAGGAACAACAUUAUGACAAGGAGAGAGUCUACUAGUUGCUCCCACAUGGAGCGCUGCUAGUUAGCUCACUCUGAAGAUCAUCAACACCAACUAUUGCAAACAUCUAGCUUGGGGCGGGAGCAUCCCCUAGUUAUCAGGUAACUAUAGCUAGGCAAUUAUCGAGUCUAUUUUAUAUAGUCAUAAAAUACCAAAAAUAUGUGAGCACAUGAAGGUUCACAAUAUUAUCAUAAGAAAAUAUAAAAAUACCAAAAAUAUAUGGGCACAUGAAGGUCCAUGUCUUUAGAGUCUUCUGAGUCCAAUAGAAAUAAAUAAAAAACCAAACGAAAUACGUAUCAAUACAUUAAGGUGU
rnacentral:lncRNA from 1 species